GACAGAGCCCGAGCGUUAGGCGGAAUCACUGGGCUUAAAGCGUGUGUAGGCGGAUCGUUAAGUGUCUUGUGAAAUCCCACGGCUCACCCGUGGAACUGCUGGGCAUACUGGCGAUCUUGGGCCAUUCAGGGGCGACUGGAACAAGCGGUGGAGCGGUGAAAUGCGUAGAUAUCGCUUGGAACGCCAAAGGUGAAAACAGGUCGCUGGGGAUGCGCCGACGCUGAGACACGAAAGCCAGGGGAGCAAACGGG
rnacentral:rRNA from 1 species